rfam:Canis lupus familiaris chromosome 24, whole genome shotgun sequence.
UGGUGGAGCGCCGGAUCCUGGGCUGUGUCCCCCGGGGCCCUGGGCUCCAGGGCCUGCACUGCUGGAAUCGCGCUCCUGGGGCCGCGCAGCCCCCU